rnacentral:lncRNA from 1 species
UUUAUUUUUUUUAUUUUUUUUUUUUUUUUGAAUGGUCAGAUUGGCUGGCCACAUGGCUUCAGGAGUAGGAAUGGACUGGGCCGGGCCGGUUGGGUGAGCGAAUCUGAAGGUUCACGGUCCACGUGCUGCGGCGUGCACCCUCCACGGAUCGCGGAAAAUACGGGAAACCUAGAGACGAAUUCAAAAAUACAUUUUAAUCGUUUAAUAAAAUUUAAAUUUUAGUAUAUUUACUAUAAGUCUAUCUUAACAUGCAAUCUAUCUACAAUCAUACCCCACUAUCUAUCUAGAACAUCUUUCACUAAUGGUUAUGUCAUUCCGCUAACUUACAACCUUUAAUUGCAAGUUAAACAUCAUCUUCACUCAUUUUCAUUCUAUAAAUUCUUUGUAAUACCCACGUCAACACGUGGAUAUCUUCUAUAGAGUAGUAAUAUACAGAGAAGUCCAUGAAAAAGCAGUCAUCCUGCUGCUUGCAUUAAUAUUGAGACAAGAAGAAUAGUCUUCUCUCUAAAGUCUAUUCAUACAAAACACCGACCCCUCCAUGACUAUGGCCUUGUUUAGAUGUAAAAAAUUUUUGAUUUCGUUACCGUAUGUUUGUGACAAAUAUUAUCCAAUCAUGGACUAACUAGGAUCAAAAGAUUCAUCUCGUGAUUUACAGCUAAACUGUGCAAUUAGUUUUUGUUUUCGUCUAUAUUUAAUGCUUCAUGCAUAUGCCGCAAGAUUCGAUGUGACGGGGAAUCUUAAAAACUUUUUGGUUUUUCGGUGAACUAAACAAUAUGCAUGAUCAGGCACCGCGCCUCACUUAUUUCAGAUCAGUGCCACACCCAUGUAAACCACCCUGUCAUCAGCCAUUCAGUAAUUAUAGUGGACUUGAUAGUUGAUCAUACAUUCGGGUCAGUCUUUCUCGAUCUGCAUGCGCGCGUCUUACAAUAAUCUUAGUUUCAAGUCAGAGGCAUGCAUGUACAUGUGCAUGUCUAACAAUACAUAUAUCAUCGUCGCCACUGGUUCAAACACUAUCCUUUAAAAACAAUAACGAUGCUUCCAAUGACGUGAACAAAGAGAUUAACAACCGUGCUUGCAUCUUAGUUUAUAGAAAUGACGUAACAAAGGCAAAGCCUGUCCAUCUUAGGCCUUGUUUAAUUUCUCACCCAAAAAUUUUCCCUCAUUCCAUCGAAUAUUUUGACACAUGUAUGGAGCAUUAAAUAUAGACAAAAAAACUAAUUGCAUAGGUUGGUUUUAAAUCGUGAGACGAAUCUUUUAAGCCUAAUUAGCCAUAAUUGCUACAGUAAUCCACAUAUAUUAAUGAUGACUUAAUUAUGCUUAAUAAAUUUAUCUUGCAGUUUCCAGACGAGCUACGUAAUUUAUUUUUGAUUAGUUUACGUAUAAUAUUUUAUAUGCCGGCAAUAUCCGAUGUAACAUCUAAUUUUUUAAACUAAAUAAGACCUUAGAUUCUAUAGUGCACCCAUCCCUUGACUUUGAUCACACAAUAUAUGCACCUGAAAUGCUCGUCUGGCUCACAUGCCAUGCACAUGAACGUGAACUACCUGUGAGUCACUGGCUAUACCGCAUCAAAAUAAAAAUAUGUGUUAGGAGAUGGCAUCCAAAGGGAAGAAUCUGUUCAAGAUAUUAAAAAAAGGAACUAGUAAAAUUGACAAUGAAUGACGUAAUUAGGCUGAUGUCAAUGCAAGUUUCGUCAAAAUGUCAAAUACUAACUUCCCUUAUGCUUGUUAAAACUAUGCUUUAUCUAUAACUAAGUUAUAUAUGAUAUAAUGAAUAUAAAAUUUUUACUAUAAUUAAAGUAUACAGUAAUUAGCCAACCAUAAAAAUUUCACCAUAAUUGGAAGCUAUGGAUUAUUCAAAUUAAUUACUGAAAAGCAUAGAUCUAAAGCUACCAUAAAAACUUUAUACUGAAACAAAUUGUAUUAUAUGUUCAUUGUGUAGACCAACAAAAUUAGAUUUUCUAUUUUACAUUUCUUGUGUGAUUUACUAUGAUUUUUCAGUAAAUAAAUAAGACAAAACUACUAUACAAAACUGUUUGGGGGGUUAAUUGACUGACUGGUUUUAGAAAGUUUAGGGGUACAUAGAAAAACUGAUUUUUAUAGUUUUGUGGAUAAAGUAGUCCAACCUGAAAAUUAAGAAGGUUAUAUAGACUUUUUCCUUCAGAAGUAGGAAUAGACCGGGUCGGGCGGCGCUUGCUGGGUGAGCCAAGCUGAAGUCAGCACAGUCCACGCGCUGCGGUCACUCCGCACACCCUCCAGGGAUCGUGGAAAUGGAAAACCUAGAACCAAAUUCAAAAAAUACAUUUUAAUCAUUUAAAAAAUUAAAAUAUAGUAUAUACAAAUAUAUACUUGUGUGUAAAAUUUAGGAUACAAAACCAAACUAGAAAAUUUCAAUUAAAAAGACAAAAUUUAGGUAUAUGUGCACUAUAAGUCAAAAUCCUAGAUUCAAAAUCUAGGGAUUUUGUCUUCUAGUACACAUACACAUGUCAUUUUCUAUGAUUUUUUUAGUUCAAGGAUUUUGUUUUUUUGGUGCACAUGCAUGCAUUUUAAUUUUUCAUUUUUAUAUUUUUUGCAUCCUAACUUUGCAUGUGAGUACAUAGUAUUUGUAUGCACUAUGAAUAUGCCAAAUUUUAGAUUUUUAAACAACCAUAAUAUAUUUUUUUGAAUUGUUUCCAAUUUUUUCACCCAGCAUGUAAUGUGCCCCUCGUAUUUUGCCUGGUUCCUGAAGGUUCGCUUCUAAACCGAAACUCUCCAACGGCUUUUCUUUACACCAAAAAAAAUGAAAAGUUAUAAGUAAAAUUUAAUACUUUCAGCUAUGAUUUUUUUUAUCGAAUCUGUCAGUCAUUCAAUAGUGUUUUUCUCUCACAAUAAAUUAGCGAAUCAUAUUUUUAGUCAUGUCUUUUCUGCGAAGCAAAGAAUGACUUCUCAUCAUACUUUUUUAAUAUACCUUUUGAUAUAAUUUUAUAGAUAACCUUUCAUGACAACAGACCUAUAGAACAUUUGUAACCAAUUUUUGCUCGUAACUCUCAGUGAACAACACUUUUUCAUAUACACUUUUCACUACAUGCUGUACAAAUUUUAUUAGAUCUUUAUUUGCAUUGCCAUUGAUUUACCAAAACCGAAAAUAGGGUUAGAUGCGCUUUCACUUUUCUGCACACACAACUCAUCCCAGCAUGUCUCACUGCCAGUUUUGUCCUUUUUCGCUUUUGAUUGACAACACCGAUCUGGUACGUUGGCUGUCCUCCACCACAUUAACUAGUAUUCUUUCUUGCUGUCAAAAAAAAACUAGUAUUCUUUCUCCAGGAAAAGAUGCAACUGAAUCAAAAACAAGGUGUGAUCAAGUUUAUAGUGAGACGUAUUAAUAUUUAGGAGUAUGCCUCUAACAAGAUUUAGGAUAAAUAUAUAUUUUAUAAUUAUUUAAUGAUUCUUAUUUUAUAUUAUAUAAAUGUUAGUAUUUUUUAUAGUUUUGAUCAAAAUUUCAACUGUCUAACUCUUCAGAAGUUACAAUUGUAUUCUUUGUAAGACGUAGGGAAUAACUCACAUGGCCUUGUUUAGUUCCCAAUUUUAUUUGAGUUUGGGUACUGUAGUAUUUUUGUUUUUAUUUAGUAAAUAUUAUCUAAUCAUAGACUAACUAGACUCAAAUUCAUUUCACGAUUUAUAGGCAAACUGUGCAAUUAGUUUUUAUUUUUAUCUAUAUUUAAUGCUCCAUACAUGUGUCACAAGAUUUGAUGUGAUGAAGAUUUUUGAAAAGUUUUUAGUUUUUGGGUGAACUAAAGCCAUAGGAAACGUCCCUUCGUUGACGUUCUAAACCUACAGACAUAGAAAACCUAGUAAUAAAAAAAUAAAUUCUUCAAAAUCAUUAAAUGCAUGUUUGGAACAAAGAAAUAUAAAACAUAAAAAUUAACAUAGAGUGGAUAGUUAAAAAACAGUAGCAUUUCAAAAACACAGGAGCUGAUGUUCUGAGCUAUUUGGAAUAGAGGAAAAACAGUACAAGAACAUGAGCAAGCAUAGCAAAAGAAUGAGAUCAAAGAUUCUUUUCCUGAAGUGGAUGUUUUAUUUCGUAUAUUUUUUCACAACUAUGGUUUCCUUUUCCUUUGGAAAAAAAAACUCAAUUCAUUCCAAACAUUAGGAAGUGAUUCCUUUCAUACGGACUUUAUUCAUUCAUAAUUCUUUCGAGAAUUCUUCGAUCCAAACAUGCUCUAAGCUCAAUGUGUCAGGAAAUCCUGGCCUCCCAAUUCGUUUUAUGCCUUGGUGAAUGCCUUCUACGGUUCUACCUCUAGAAGAAAAAUGAACUAGAAAGAGGAGAUAAAAAAUAAAGGCAUAAUUUUUUUUUUAUUUUGUCGGCUCUAGAUGUCUACAUUACGGCUACAAGGGAGUCGAAGUCAGCGUAAAACACACCGAAUUUCAGACGAAUAUAAACAGCCCAAAACAUGAGGAAAUUAAUUAACAACCGGCAGAAAUCCCCAUGGCAUACCAGGAUCCACAGAAUCAGAGCAGUGCAUGAAACCAGGCGGGGGAAAAAAAAAGGGAAAACAAGCACAGAUCCAGGUGCUAAAUGCUCAUACGGCCACAGACACGGUACGGUCCCUCACAAUUCACAAAGGCAACGUCCCCUAGCCGACAGACACCACAUGACCCUGAUCAUGCAAGCACGGCCGCGGCUAGAGAGAGCAGGGACGCGGCGACGGUCGCUGCCAGGGAGCUGGCGGAGAGGGCCUUCGGCGCGGCGUUGGGGUGCGGCGACGGCGCGGCCGUGGCGCCGCCGGAGGGCUUGGAGCCGGAGGGGGUCGGGGACGGUGCGGCGGUGGGGGACGCGGAAGGGGCAGCAGAGGAGGCGGCGACGCGGAUGUCCACCUUCUGGCCGGCGGCGCAGUGGCCCGUGAAGCCGCAGAGGAAGUAGUGGUGGCCCGUGGUGUUGAGGACGACGGAGUCGUUGCCCGUGGACCAGGUGGCCGUCGGUUUGGUGGCGUCGCAGUUCUUGUAGUCCGCCUUGCUCACUGCCAGCACGUUGUGGAACUGCUUGUUGUACGUGAACACUGCAAUCAUGCGUCAACAAGAUCACAAGUCGUCAGACAUGAAUAUAUAUACGGGUUUUUUUAUUCCAGAAUUUAAAAUACAAAAUGCCAACUACUUUGGAGUGAUGAAAUACAAAAUGCCAAAAUUUUCAGGGUCAUGUUUAGUUUCAUCCAAAAUAAAGAAUUUAUUGCUCUCAUGAGAGCCUUUUGAGGCUUUUUUUGGAUUUUUUUAGCCUCUUGAGAUCAAAAUCCAAAAUGAAGAAUAACCACCUUUUUGCUAAAAUUUUUGCAUUGUGUUUGGUUCCAUUUUGCAAAACGUUGGACCAAAACCCAAAUUUUUUUGGAGAAAAAGGGGAAGUAAACAUCCCCUAGUCACUAGCUUCUUUCUUUUUUACUAUAUAUUAACUAUAACUAAACAGCAGGAGCAUUGCGCUACAUAUGAGUAUCAUAAAAUUAAGGAGGAGAAUGCCAGUUUUUACAAAGGUUGUUACUUGGAUAACACAAACAAACACAAACACAGGCACUAAACUAAAGCGAUGUGGAGCAUUUUAUCCAUGUUCCAUGGAUCCCCACACGCAGCGUAGCCAAUAGCUUCAACAACUGACGAACAAAACCACUGAACAGUAAGAUGUCCUAAAUAGUCAAUAAGUCUGCCAGCUGAAGUCUGAAGAGGCUAGUGCCAUGUUUAAAUCUGACACCAGCAUGAUGGCAUCGUGAAUUUGACAAAGUAAUAAAUUGCUGAGAGCUUAGAUGACCAAUUUCAUCUAUGCACCUCAUCAUGCUAUAUCCUAUUGUAUCGUAAACGUAAGAAACGUCAACAUCCUCAUGGACAAACUUUUUGGUUGCUGGGGAUUAAAGCAUAAUCAAUUAUUUAUCAAGCAUAGCUCAUAUCAGCACGGAACAUAUCCUACCAACCCACCCAAUGGCAGUACUGGUCGCCUUUGAUGAAAGUGUUACGAUUCUACACUAUCUAGUUACCUGCGUUAUUCAUGAAACUUCCACACAGCAUGGUCAUCUGAAUCCAUACCAGAAAACCAGAAUUUUUAUCUCCACUCAACAGCUACUUUACUAAUUGCAUACAUAUGGUGGACAGACGAUACACCUUGGUCCAACAAAGGCAGAAUUCAGUGCAGCUGAGGAAUAAACAGGUAAAGAAAACAUGCAAUUUUGACUUGAGUGGCAUGCAUCUCUAGUGGAUGAAAUGAAAGGAGAAGUGAUCAUGAUGCCAACUUUACAGCUCAUGGGCCUACCCCAAUCUGGCAUCCACAUACCACAUGUCCACACUGCAAGCAUGACACUGGAGCUGUGCUCCACAUUGACAAUCAUGGAAACCUUUCUGGAUGGGUCUAUCCUCAUUUGAAGUCCUCUCAUUACUAUAGCUAUAAAGAUGCUAUGCACGCCCUCAUCUUUUGGACCCUGAGAGGGCCGGCAAAGAGCUACCAACCAGCGAGCCAACAGAUGGAAUCGCUGGACCGGACGAAUUGAAAGAGAAGAGAUCGUGGAUGAAAGUGAAACGCGAGCCAUACAAUGAGAGCGCAUGCAGCAUCCGUGAGUUGGCAACAGGGCCCAGCAUUAUUUGACAAGUCGUUGUUGCAUGCAUAUAAAAGCCAAAAGGUGAUGUAUUUCAGGCUGAUGCGGAGAACAAGUGAACAGCACAUCACAUCAUGCUACCGGAGUACUCUAGCUACUCCGUAUGUAGCUGAGCAGUGGUAGACAAUGCAUGGUUCACCAAGAAUAAAGUAUCGCAUUGGUGAAUGGCAGUGAUGUUCAUCAGCUAGGGAUUGUAGGCUUGCCAAGAUUGCAAACCUGCAACCUCUCUCAUGCUAGAUCCAGGCGAGCGAGUUGACAAGUGCUAGUAGGAAACUACUGGAUCAGUCUACAGCUUAGACUGAUCCACUACAUCAAUGACUUCCCUUUGCCAGCGGAGGCAAUAUAUCGAUCGAUCUGUCAUCCAUUUCCACCCGAAACAGAAGGAUGUGGCCUGCGUCUCAAACCCUCAAUGCCUCAUUGGAGUAAGAGAAGAGAUGUGGACGUUCAUGGUUCAUUUCUGGCAACCCUAACAUGGGUUGCCCGUUGGCGUCUAGUCUGAAACGAUUGCAUUGCUUGCCAAUGGAAUCCCGAUAAUGCUGCAGAAGCACGCGCAAGGUAAGGCAAAGCCUACCCUAUUUUCUUACCAAAACCUUCCCUAACUUGGCUGUGGCCUGUGGCAUUAAGGAUUCAAGGUUAGAUAGGAGUUGGGGACAAAUGAGAAGGUGCUGUGUGUUCUGUCCCGGCCUCACGGGGAGGAGAACACCGUAGGAGUAGGAAUGCUCUAGAAUUAAUGUUUUUCUUUAUGUCCGUCAUGUGUACCAAGUGUGGGAUUUAUUUUUGUACUGUAUUUAUUUGCUGCGUGCCUCAAAACUGUCAUGAUGGAUAGCACUGAAGUUAGAUCAAUGAAGCAAAUUAAUUAAGCGCAAGCUAAGAAUCAUUUGUAUUCCAGUACACUUCAACUUUCUUAUAAGAUGGUGGUGGUCCAUCAGCAAAAGCAACUUCAAGUUUCUAUUUUCCAGAAAGGAGAAAGCUCGCUCGAAUAAGCACCUUCACUAAAAGCUACGGAGUACUUAGAAAAGCUUCCUUCAUCAGAGGAUUAACCAGCAAAGGCAACAGAGCCUUUAUACUACCUGAUAAGAGAAGGCAAAAGCAUGUUGACCUCUCGACAAUUCUGGAGCACCGGCAUAGCGUACGUUCUUUUGUCCUUUCGCUAGCGAGGCAGUUGUAAUGUACUGUGCGUGACUGCACGAUGACAUCAUUGGCAGGUCAUGCUCUUUGAUCUGGUUCUGGCCAGAGACAAAAGUCCCGGAGCACCGGAGCAGCAGGCAUUUUUUUUUGGGGGGUUCGGCAAAAGCGUCGUUUUCCCCGGAGGAGCCUCGGAGCCAGACGAGUGCAACGGACGGCAGGUUGGCAGCACGCUGCACGCGGAUGAUGAGCAGACGAGCAGUGGCCGCCAGGAGCGCGCGCGAACCCACUAUAGGCCAGGCCACCACCGUCCACUGUCCACCACCACCACCACGGGAUUGUGCGUGCUGCCACGACCACGAGCCCGCGCUGCCGUGCAGUCCUGCGGCGACUGUUAGGAGUGGAGUGGAGGGCGCCCGAUCGACCAGCUGGUGGCAGCAGCAGCGCCAGCGCCAUCCUGCGGCGCAUUGUGCGUGCUGCUGCCCUGCCCUGCACCGCGCCGUGCCCCCACCAUAUAUUAGCACCGGCCACCGGGCAGUUGGGUGGGGGCGUGCGUCACGCCGAGAAAAAACGCCGGAACGUCCCCUGCCGGGCGGGGCACGAGCACGGCCACACCACAUGGCGGAGGCGGAGGCGGAGGCGGGCCACCACGGUGAAGGGGAUUAGGGAAGGCCGUACGUGUCGCGCGCGUCGCGUCAAGAGCCUACGUACCAACCUCGUGUUUCCAUCUCCUGAUCUCCAUCGAUCGCAUUCCGGAAAGGAACGCCGGAAAGCCUGCAGGUCGCUAGCCUGGCCACUCAUCCUUCCUGCCCAGCUAGGGCCUAGGGCGGCCCCGCAGUCUGCUGGUGCUGCACAAGGCGCGCGCACCCACAGUCCCAGAUCGAACGAACGAUCCGCCGACGCUCAAUCUGUUUCCUUACGGGCUACGGCCAACGUUCCGUCACGUCGGCCGUCAAUGAGAUUAUUACUGCUAAUCUAAUCCUCGACACGGACAUCCACCAUUAACGGAUCAUUAACUUUCAUGGCGGUACCUCCUCCCGGUUGUGCUGCCAUGCCACCGCUACCGCUACUGCUGCCGUACGAGAGCAGGUAAUAAAGCCGGCGUCGUAGCUACGCGCCGCACAGGCUGACGAACAACACGGCGCGGUGCUGUACUGUAAUCUGUAAAUGGUGCUGUACCUCGGCUUCCAGCCAAGCAGGCACCGCUCGCCGUGCCGCGCCAGCGCCAAGGUACACGUAGCUAGCAGUCUAGCACGGCCACCGAUUUUGGGGUGCUACGGCUUUCACGUGUAAAGCGGCCACGGGUAAACGCCGAGGGUCUUGUGGAUAGCGACGCGGACGGGGGUGGAUACGAAUGCGAGGGUUCGGUGGUGCCGCACCACGUCCACACCACACUAGCUACGCACCAAACGGAGGUGCGCGGCCUUUUCUUUGCUGCUGGCGCUGGGACGAGUCGACGCGAGCCGAGUUCUCGCCCGGAAUUAGGGCGUGGGGGCCCGCUUCCGGAUUCUAGCAGGUAGUACUGGUGUUUAAUUAGCGGUGUUCUCCUCCAUGGCCUGUGGCCGCUACCGGAAGCCUGAAACUGACAAUCACAGGAGAACAACUCUGUCUCUGUGUGUUGGGACUAUACGCUCUCCGACGCCGAAGAGGAGAGGGAAAUUAGUUUGUACGUACUUCCUUGGUGCAACUACGCGUCUUCCGAUCGCUGUUCAAUUUUUGAAGAGUUGCUGUCAUCUUGUCAGGCCUAGUUUGUUACUCCUACGUACUACAACCAUGCGUCUGCUGGCCCCCAGUGCCACUAUAGUGCACUAAUCCAUCCGGGGUCUAGUUGUUGAAGGAAUUUCCCAACAAUUUCAGGGAACAAAUCGACAAAGUAAAAUUUGCCCGAAACAAAUCGAAUAAGUUGGUUCUAAUGCGCCCUAGUAGACUUCUGAAGAAAAUCUAGCCGGAGCAAAACAGAAAAGGAUUGCUCCUACGCUGCUCGAUCAGCAGAGAGAGGAAAGAGAGAGAGAGAGAGAGAGGGCAAGCAAUCGAGAGACAGACGACGCACCAACAGUGUCGCCGAGGUGGAACUUCUUGGAGUUGGCCCAGGCGGCAUAGUCGGGGUUGCCCAUGAUGGUCCACCCGGUCUUGUCGCCCACCUCGUACACGGCCGCCGACGCCACGCCCGCCCACAGCACCACCACCACCAGCGCCGCCGCCACGGCCGCCGCGCCACCACCGCCCAUGGCUCCGGCCGACGAUCGAGCUAGCAGCAGCGAGCGAAGGGACGAGACGCGCGGCUGGGCACAGAGCGAUGGCAGUUACUCCUGCUCACGCGCCUCUAGCAGCGUGAGGAGAGCGAUGGCAGUGUGCAGUACUGACUGGCUGGCUGGCUGACCAACCGGCCGAUUAAAUAAAAGCUCCGCGGCCUUCCAUCCAGACCCGAGCCCGCCCGCGUCGAGGUUUCCGGAAAUGCCCCUGCGGCCAGCGUUUGGUGCGUGACCAGGGUGGUAAUUUCUCGUGGUCUUCCGCUUUGGCCUUCCGGGUUCCCCGCUUUGUUGCCGUUGAGCUGCCUCCGGCCUGACCAGGGUCUCGUCUGUGCUGGUGCUGGUGCUGCUGAUACGGUGUACCGGCCGCCGGCCCGCCGGCGCGGGUCGCUGUCCACGGCACGCGACCACUGCUGGCAGUUGCGACUGCUCGCUCUCGCUUCAUCAUCAUCCGAACGAAUCUGCACAUGGGGUGCAGAAGCGAUCGAACCAACAUGUGGAUGCAUGCCCGUCCGGUCGCCCAGAUAUCGUACGCAGCCGCAGGAGAUGAUCCGGGAUACUCCCGUAGAUGUGCAGAUCCGGGUCUCGUCUUUGUCCGCAGCUAAUAAGAUGUGCAUGGCGCUUACCGCGGAGAAUACGUCCAGGAGCGGGACCCUGGAGUCUGCUCGCCGUCGACCAAGGCCGGCGUUUUGCAUACUGGGUCUUGUUUAGUUCACUCAAAAACUUUUUUUUAAAAAAAAAAUUCUCCACAUCGCUAGAUCAAAUCUUGCGGUACAUACAUAAAGCAUUAAAUAUAGAUAAAAAAUAAAAAAUAAUUAUAUAGUUUAUCUGUAAAUUGUGAGACGAAUUUUUUAAGUAUAGUUACUUAAUGAUUGAACAAUGUUUAUAAAAUAAAAACGAAAUUGCUGCAGUAUCAAAAUUCAAAAACUUUUCCAAUCUAAACAAGACAUCGUACAGACGGCAUAAAGCGCCGGGGCUGAGGCUUUCCAGUUUUCUACCCGGGUCCCUCAAGGCCCCAACGCUUUUGGCGUGUGUGCACAUACUCAUGAGUACUUCUAUUCAAUUUUUUUUUAUUUUUUAUAGAAAUAAUAAAAUAAGUUAUAAUAAAAUAAAUAAUAUUUAUUAUUAUCUUUGAAUAAAAGGUUAAAUAAGAAGUCUAAAAGAUUAAAAAAUUGGAAGGGAAGGGGUACGUGCAUAUCGACGCGCCUAAUAAGUCACCGAGGUGGAAGAUGUUUGAUGUCAAAACAUGACAACCACAGCAGGUGUGCUUGAGAGUCCAUGUCACCAUGUGUAGAUCGACACGUACCGCAGAACGGAAGAAACAGGUACAUUUCUCGGGAGUUGCCGCUAGGGGGUGUAGUAGUCAUUGAUCAGUGGAGUCCACUGUCCAGUCCAAUCUCUAAAGGCUACAGCACGGCAAGCCGGACUCUCUAGCUUGUCGUAUCCUUCUUCACAGGAUGACCACGACACGGCGCGAGUGUUGAUCUGAUGAAUAUCUGAUCGAUGACGGCUAGCGGGCGGUCGACGACCGGCCGAUCCAGCGAUCCUACACGUCGCGCACGAGCUUCUGGAAACGACGGAGGCGGCCGGCCGUCCACAAGCGGAAGUUGCACUCGACAAACGUGUCUUCGUGAACCGGCUGGCGCUGCUCGUGAAGUCGCGAGUCGUGAGUUACUGCUGUCGGCUGACGCUGGGCGUGAUGACACCAUGAGCUCAGGCCUUUCGCCGGACGCCGCGAGCCCGCGAGGCAAAGCAUUUGGCGGACGACGAGAGCGGAGGCCCAAAGGCCGAAGCAGUGGAUACUGGAGCACAUGUGUGGCCCGUUUCAGAAAUUCAGAUUCAGAUGUUGCCCGCUCCGGAACUCUUUACCUCUCACCGAUAACAGACCGACCCGCAUGCACGCGCCUUUGAGACUUGAGAGACCGCAACGACGGGGGCCGUGUUGUUCCUGAGAUGGCGGUGGGAUCGUGUGCGUUAAGACUACAACAAAUCAAAGAGCUUAACAGUAGGACUUCGUAUCGAUCAUACUUAGCCACUGUCAAUAUGGCAUCUGUUAACGUCGGAUUUGAUCCCAACUCACAUACUACUGGCUAGGAUUAGAUAGCUCGGACCGCUACGGCCGGACCGAGAAGAACAACAAGAAUGUCACACUUUUGUGGUGAAGAAUAAAAAAGUUUAUGAGCAAACCACCAAAGGAUAACCAACAUAUAAGAAUGAUUAGUUUUUAGAGAAACUAGUAAAGGUACCAUCGAAGCUCUCGGCCAGAAGGGAUCUCGUUAGAACAAGAAUGUCACGGCAAGCCUAAGACAUCAUCUUUUGUCAUCAGAUCAAGAUAGGAACAAUAACAUGGGGGGUUUGGAAGAGAGCAAAAUAGAGUUGUAUAUAGAUAUAAAAAGAAUGAUUACAUGGUGGAUGUCUCAAUCAAAUGCCAUCCUUUAUGUAUUUAUAAUAAGGCGGCUAGUCUUUAUCUCUAUAUAUAAAAAUUCUAAAACAUGUCUAUUUAAUUCGUCUGCGUAAGUAUAGCGACGUUGGUCUUGUGUUCCCGUGUAUGGACUCCUCUUGGACUUGCCUUGCAUCAACUCUAGAUUCCUUCGUGCAUAUAAAAAUUCCUUGGCCGAAGCAAAGAACCACGGAUUCCUUUCCUAGCACCUAGACUCCGUAGUCCAUUUACCGGAGCUCCAUGUUUGGACUCCUUGUCAGAAUGGCCUGUACAGAACUACGGUAGGCCGAACGUAUCUCACGUUGCAUGAAACCAGCAAGUAUCCUGCUCCUGCCUAUAUAUAUGUUUUUGUUCCUGAACUUGAACAACCACGUCGGUACAGUACUGCUUGUCCACGUAUAUAUGAAUGAUCUCCCUUAAGGCACCUGAACUCCAUUGUCCAUAAGCGACCAUCUCACAUGUUCCAGCACUUAAAACCCCUUUAAACAAUUUACUGAUAAUUAGGGGGUGUUUGGAACUGCUCUGCUCCACGUUUUCCAGCUCCGCUCCAUAUUUUUUAUCCAAAUGAUUUCAACUUCACGCACUCAAUUCGAGAAAAAAAAGUGGAGUUGUGAGAGCACCUAAAAAGGUACUCUACAAACUAUAGUUUUUUGUGGAGCUGCUCUACGGUAGAGUUUGUGGAGCAGUCCCAAACACCCCAUUAAUAUAGUACAAACAAUCCGCCAGUAGUCCCAUUAAUUAAACUAGUACUUUUAUGACCGAAUAAUUUAAUUGAAGAGUAAUUUUGGUUGUCAACAACAUCAAUAACGUCAAACAAUAAUUUGGUCAAUUUGACCAACUUUCAUUUUGAGUAUGAUUUCUCUUAGUCAUUCUCUAGGUUUAAUAUAGCACAAAAUGACGAUUUUAAAUAAAUAAAUAGCGUGACUAUGAGCAAUAAAAUAAAUAGGAACAAGACCAACUACAAAUAAGAACCAGAGACCUUCAAAUCUAACACCAAUAUAUAAAUUGUAUUAUUAGAAAAUAUUUUGGUAUUUUUUCAAUUUAAAAUGCAUUACUUGUGUAUUUUUAAAAUAAACCACCUUCUAGAUGACAAAACUUGUUUGAUAUUAAUAGUUUGGUGGUAAAAAAGACCUAGUUUUUGAAUUGAAUGCAAAAAUCCAAUUGCGCUCGUCAGCAUUAUGACACUAAGCACACUUGAAACAAGCGAAACUCGGUAAUCUGUCACGCAUAUUCAGGGGGAUAUACCUACUAUCACAGCCUUUAACAAUCAAGGAUUGAACAAGGAUCAUGGGUCGCACACAUCACAGAGUUUAGAUGAAAAUACAUAAUACAUAGUUGGAGUUCAAAUAAAAGUUAUUACAAACCUGGUUUAUAGUUUUGCAGAGAAGAUCAAAUAAGUUCAAAAUUCUUAAAUAAAAUAGUGAGAUAAUGUGCAAAAAGUCUGAGUAAAUAUAGCAAAAGAUGACUGACAUGUUCAUGUUGAGCUCCAGUGCUCCACUAACUUGAACCUGCAACCACUUCCCGCCUAAUCCUGGUGGUUAUUAUCCGGUAAAUCAAUCUUGCUGCAACAAUCAUGAAAUUCAACCGCACUACCUACAACAUUGGGGAAUGAACAAUGAGAACUCAAUAUACUUCGCAAGGCUUAACAGACUAUAUAUAAAUUAUAAAAUAAAACUCCAAGGAUAUACAUCUUCUCAAAAAAAAAAACUCCAAGGAUAUACAUGGUUUUAUGGUGGAGCUAGCUGACAACAAUAUUUUUGCACAAAGGCUUAUUGAUGUUGAUCCUUAGCUGUCAAUGUUUUAGCUUAGGCCUUGUUUAGUUUCCAAAUUUUUUUGCUUUAGGCUACCGUAGCAUUCUCGUUUUUAUUUAGCAAAUAUUUUUCAAUUAUAGACUAACUUGGCUUAAAAGAUUCAUCUCUCGAUUUAUAGAUAAACUGUGCAAUUAGUUUUUGUUUUCGUUUAUAUUUAAUGCUCAAUGCAUGUGACACAAGAUUUGAUGUGACAGAGAAUCUUGAAUUUUUUUUUGGUUUUUUUUAACUAAACAAGGCCUUAUAUUUAUAGUUAAGCAAUAAGUAUAAUGUUUGUAAGGUAACAUCUAUAUUACCAAAUAAAUCGUGAAAUAUGUGUAUUAUCAUAAUCAAUAUCCAUGUUCCAUGCAAUCGGAUUGGACCAUAAUCAACAAAACCUGAAGCAAAAGGGCUAUUUUAUCCAUGUAGAAUGUUGUGUGAGCUGGCCAGCACUGGCCUAAGUGGAUUUAGUCCGGCCUGGCCUGGCACAAGGCUAAGCUCCGCGCUGGCUAGGCUCGGAAAAGCAUGUAUCGGUAAAAAUUUGGCCUGGCCCAAACUGAGAAGCCCACGGGAAUGGCAUAGCGAUAAUGGUCUGUGUUUUGCCGUUUUGCUCAUGUAUGAUAUCGCGUUCGACCUCGCGAAAAUCGUAUGUCAUGCACCGGCUCUAAGGUUAGUUAUCACUUUUUCACCCUUCCGAAGUUCUUAGCUUUUCAACAGGAAUUAGCAAAAGCUAAUGAUAAACUUCAGAAGGACGCCUUUCUCAGUUUGAAGCUUUGCUAUAUUGAGGAAAAGCUCUAUAAACUUCAACAGAGGAAAAGAAGCCUUUUCUCAAGAUAAUGUAAAAGACUAGUAGAUGGUGCGCGCCCUCGCGCGCAUGGGUUAGCAUAGCAUAGGUGUUAGCAUUAUAUAAAAAAACAUAAUACGUUUAAUUUGUAGAUUGAAAAUAAUUAAGAAUAGUAUACAAAUAUGUGUAUAGGUAUAUAUGUUACAUAUGUUAUUAUACAUUGGAAAUAAAGAGCAGUAAUAUAUUAUAUGCAGUUUUGCAGCAGUUUUUUUACAUGAAGAGCAGUACAAUAUAGCAUAAAAAAACUGCUAUAUCUAAAAAAACACCACCACAAUAUCAGUAUAGAAAAUGAAAAAGUAUGCUUGAUGGUGUGCACCAGGCUUGUUGCCGAGGAGACCGGGUGCUAAUGAUUGCACUUGUCAUCCUGUUUGUAUAAUACUUUAUUAGUGAUAUAUAUAGUUCCAAUCAUGAGCAGAGAAGUAUCAGGUUAUGCAAGACAUAUUUCAGUGGCUAAAUGAAGUCUCUAUAGUGAUAUAUGUUAAUUACAGUGCGGUUAUUUUACCUAUAAUUUUGUUUUAAAGGAAGCAUAUAAUAAGAAGAGAGCAAUUCCAACUUUUGCAGAAUUCUAGGGAGAAAAAGUGUAGCACAGGUCCAUAACAAGGAAUGGUUUUAAGAAAUGCUGUGAGGAAGCAUCUCCUUCAACUGCUAUGAUAGAAGCAAAAUAGGAAAUGACAUACUAUACAUAAGACAAAGCAGUAGAUUGCAUUCAUGUUUUAUGGAAUCGACUUAUGUCAUAGUCACAUUGGGUAUGGGAGUCCAGUUGACUAUGAUUAAGGACAAAACCAAUAAAGUAAGUACGUGGACAAUAUUUUUUUCUGUCUAUAUUCUUCCUUUUUCAUUUCAUUUCAGUUUUUGUUUUUCGAUUUUAUUUUAUUUUUUGUCCUUUUCUUAUUCUUUUCUUGUUUUUAAUUUUACCUUUUAUUUCCUUUUUCUUUUGGUUUUAUUUUUAUUGAUCUUCCUUGCUUCUAUUUGUUUUUCUUUUUUCUUUUCAGAUUUUCUAUGUUUCUUCAUUCUUAUUUUAUAUUUUACUUUCUUUUAAUCUUAUUUUUAUCCUUAUUUAAAUUAUUCAUGAACUUUAUUUGUUCUAUGCACUUUUUAUCAUUUGUUAAUUAUGUUUGUUUUUAUAUUUUUUUUCUUAGUAAUUUUAUUUUAUUUUAUUUUUAUUUUCUAUAUAUAUGUGAUAUUUAUGUAGUAUAUAUUUAGUGUUCUAUAUUGUGUUAUGUCAUGUUUACGUAAUAUAUAUAUAUAUAUAUAUAUAUAUAUAUAUAUAUAUAUAUAUAUAUAUAUAUAUAUAUAUAUAUAUGUGUGAUGUUCUAUGAUGUUUCUUACGGUGUUCACUUAGUAUACAUGUAAUCUAUAAUAGAUGUGAUGUUCUAUAAUAUAUUUAAUGAUGUUCUAUGAUGUAUUUAGUGAUGUUAAUGUUCUAUAAAUAUAUUUACGAUAUUUAAAAAGUAACCCUUUGACAUUAUUUGAAAUUUUUCUCCAUUUUGUGUAUUUAUUUUUUUAUGCUUUUUACUCUAGAUUUUUUUAUUAUUUUUAUCUAUGUCAUGUAUUUAUGUAUUUUUAUGUAUAUUGUAAUAUCAGUUUCAUAAACCUAAAACCAAAAUACUAUUCUUCUAAAUCGAUAACAUUUUUUUUACAAAGACAGAACAUUGUCCAUUGAACCUAGAAUAUUGUUUCUACUUAAUAAAAGAAAAUAUUUUAUCUCUAUAAGAUAAAUAUUCAUGUGUGAUCUUGUUUUGAAGAAUUUGUUAUAAAAAAUUUAAUGAUGCAAUCAGAAUUUAAUUUACAUCUCUAGUUUAGGAGGUAUGAUUUUUUUAAUUCGCUAAAACAAUUUUAGGUGAGUGAGGCCUAGGUUGAUGGGAUAGUGUGUCAUCGCGCAGUAAAAAAACCACCAAAGGGAUGAAAGUUGUGGAUAGGUCCUCUCCAUAAUUUUUAGUUGUAGAGAUAAAUAUUCAUUAAUAAAAUUUUAUCUAAAUAUAUCCAUGUGCGAUCUUGUUUUGAAGGAUUUGUUAUGAGAAAUUUAAUGGUGCAAUCAAAAUUUAAUUUAUAUCUUCGGUUUAAAAGUUAUGACUUUUUUAAAUUCGCUAAAACAAUUUUGCAUGCGUGAUGCAAUCAGAAUUUAAUUUAUAUCUUCGGUUUUGGAGUUAUGAUUUUUUUAAUUCGCUAAAACAAUUUUAAGUGAGUGAGGCCUAGGUUGAUGGGAUAGCGUGUCAUCGUGCAGUAAAAAAACCACCAAAGGGAUGAAACAAUCAAAAUUUAAUUUAUAUCUUCGGUUUAAAAGUUAUGACUUUUUUAAAUUCGCUAAAACAAUUUUGCAUGCGUGAUGCAAUCAGAAUUUAAUUUAUAUAUUCGGUUUUGGAGUUAUGAUUUUUUUAAUUCGCUAAAACAAUUUUAAGUGAGUGAGGCCUAGGUUGAUGGGAUAGCGUGUCAUCGCGCAGUAAAAAACCACCAAAGGGAUAAAAGUUGUGGAUGGAUUCUCUCCAUAAUUUUUAGUUGUAGAGAUAAAUAUUAAGUAAUAAAAAUUUAUCUAAAUAUAUCCAUGUGUGAUCUUGUUUCGAAGGAUUUGUUAUGAGAAAUUUAAUGGUGCAAUCGGAAUUUAAUUUAUAUUUUUAGUUUAAAAGUUAUGACUUUUUUAAAUUCGCUAAAACAAUUUUGCAUGCAUGGUUGAGUGGGGCCUAGGUUUAUGGGAUAGUCUAUCAUGACUAAAAGAGAUGUGAGUUGUGGCUUCACCAUGGGUGUGGUAGAUGGGUCCUUUCCAAUUUUUAGGUGUAGAGAUGGAUGGAGCGACGGUUCGGGAAGGAGAUAUUUUUAGACAGCAAACAGUAACACAGUAGGGGGAGUUUUCUGAGCCACACGAUGGAGAUCAAACGGUUAAAAUCUUUUCAGGUGACAUGUCGUAUGUCUCCUGCGUCCUUUCACCUGGCCAUUGUAGAGAGUAAUUCGUCAGCUAAUCUACAAACGGGGAUACUUUCUUCUUUUUGCCCUUUAGCUGUACCGCCAAUACGGAGAUUCCCAAUGACGUGUCAAAUUGUUCACUCACCGACGAGGCGACGAGUAUGUACGUACAUGGAAAAGGAACGUACUAGAAUCUAUCCAAAAACAAAUGAAUAUGUACUUUUUUUUAUCUAUUGACUGAUCUUUUCGUAACCAAGGCGUCCUCCUGUUUUGCCGGUUCUAUGCUUCCGUCUGAAUCAAGACUCAUCAACAUCAAAUAGGUAGCCGCAUUUGACUAAAAGCCACUAUUCUGGAACAAGAACUUGCAGUGUUUUUUCCGUUGUCUGUUACUAAUUGAGUAAUUCAUAUGAACAUCUGAAAAUGGACGAUUUUCUUUUCAGUAACUCAUGAGAAAUCAGAUAUCAAGCUGACAGAUAACUUGGCCUCCUCUUGUCUUCAGAAGAAAAACCCAGCGCCCAGGCUGCGCGUGUGUUUUCUAAUAUAAUAGGAGAAUACCCCGCGCGUUGCUGAGGAAAUUUUAGAUAAUUUAAAAGAAAAUUAGACUAUUUAUAUCUAUAGUUAUAUGAAUAAAAUUAUCUUAAAUUAAUUUUGAACAAUUUGACACAUCAAUAUGAAGAGCUAAAUUGCAUGUAAGUAGAUGAAGAGAUGACUAUCAUAAUUACAUGUGCCAGUUGGCUAUAAUUGUAAAUUUUAGUGGUUUGUUGAUGUGGAUAGCUUGCAUGUUAAGAGAAAUCUCAAGUGGAGUUUAGCUCUCCAUCGUUGGCAGCUUGGACUGGGCCGUCGGUGUACGUUUUGGGCUUGGCGCUUUGCUGAAACUUUUGGUGCAAUCUCAGACAGUGUCGCCGUGAUUUAUUUUUGUGAUGCUCGUAAACUGUAGCCAGACCUCCACCCUCUUGUCAAACAUGUCGUUUAUAACAACGACACGGUCUUUAAAACAUAACUUUGAUAUCUUAUUUUUAUAAAAAAAAUUUAAAAAAAAGAUAUAUGUAUAUUUUUAUAAAUUCUUUUAAGACAAAUAUAUUCAUAUAGUUUUUAUAUUUGUAAACUUGAUUUAUAUUUUUAAUGUUUAAUCUAAACUUUAUCUAAAACGACAUCUAAAUCAUAUAUCGAGUGAGUACAUUGUCACCAUCUCUGAAUCAAAUGUCUGGAUUGUUUCGGCCUACUCUCAGUCUCGGGUCCCUAUUGUGAGAUUUUUGAGGCUGAAAACAAUCUUGCUCUACGGACCAGACAACAGCCACGGCACGUACAGUACACGGCAGUAGAUGCAACUUGCCCGGGCUUACGUAUCAGGUCUACUCAUAAUCUUCAUUAGAGAUGUUCUGUGGUUAGUAGUCUAGGGAGUACUGUACUCCGUAAAUGCUUGAUAUUUUCAGCAGCCCUGAAAGGGACGUGUGACCGGCUCACCGCCUGUACCCGGUCGUGGCCUCAAGAUACCCCUACCAGGCUAGGGCCUUGUUUAGUUCACUCUAAAAACUAAAACGUUAAAUAUAGAAAAAACAAAAACUAACAAGGCCUAGUACUACCACCACGGCAACGACCACCGGCACAGGCCGGCGGGAGCGUCGGCGGAGGAGUCGACACGUCUCGCGCCGACAGGGACAGUCUGCGACAAUUACGGACGCUGAUGCCUCCACGGCCGCACGGGGGUGGCCCUGGGCCUGGAUUCUCAUCAUGCUACCGUGGCAGGGCGUGGGUCCCGGCUGCAUGACCAAGUGGGCCCUUCGCAUGUCCCGUCCAGUAGCAGCAGUGGGACAGUGACAACAGCGAUGGUGACUCCGAUAAUGCUACGAGGCAUAUCCGUUGAGAUACUACCAGCACUGUCUGGCAGGAGUAGGAGUAGUAGUAGUACCAUAGCAUAGACCGCCUACUGGGCAGCUUUUUGCUGGGCUUUUGAGAGCAAGUUUAAUAAUACAGCCCACUUGCUGGCUGUAAGGUUUCUUAUAGCCUUCUCCCAGCCCAUCCAUACAAUAGUUAGCUAUUCACUAUUAAUACAUGGUCCAUUUAUCUCUCUCAUAAGGUUUCUUUGUUCCUGUGCAUAAGCUGGCUGUAAGCUUACAGUCUGCUUCUCUAAUCUCUCCUCCCUUCUCUCAUCCACCUCAGCAUUUAGCCAGUUUAAAGCCCACUAUAAUACUUGCUCUGAGCAGGACUGGUUGCGUGAUGACUGCCAGUUCAUUAGCACGACGAUAGGACGGCAACAUCAAUCAGACAGUCAUUUUCCAUGACUGCUUGUAGUAAUAGGCUCGCCACGGAUUUUUUUUUAUAUUAGACCAUGAUUAGCGCCACAUCUUGGCACUGAAACUGGAAAUCAACAUGACCACGUAGAUUAGGCCAUCCUUAGAGCAUCCCCAACCGUUUUGCAAAUAAGCUUUGCAUUUAUAUAUUUGCAAAAAAGUCUUAAAAGCACUUAUCCAACGGUUUGGCAUUUAGACUUUGCAAUUUUGUUAACUUGGCAAAAAGAGAGGAAGGAUUGGCAUAUAUGCCAAACCUGUUCACACUUGGCAUUGAGAAAUUAGCGCGAAGUGAUUAAUGCCAAACCAUUGGAGAUUGCCUCUUUUUACCUUUGCCAUAUUUUUUUGAGACUUGGCAAACUUCCUCAUUUGCCAAACCAAUUAUGCAAAACGGUUGGGGAUGCUCUUAGCGCCUUCUUGUAGCGUGAUUUUUUUUAAUAAAUAAUUUCCAUGCCUUUGUAGAAAGAAAGUACUCGUAGAGUUUGAUACUCCAGACUCUAGUAGCACUAUGAAGAAACGAGGAAAGACUAACCGAAAGAAUUUUACACUGCAACCUUCGUUUUCUCAAGAGAAUGGCUCUAGAAAACGAAAGAGAGAAGACGUGUUAACAGUUAACACCGGAUUGGAGUAAAACGAACACCGGGGCCGGCUUUGUUUUGAAGCCGAAUCCAUGUGAAGAGAAAAAUGCAGACGCCUGGCAGAGCUGCAGAAGCAAGAACCCAAGACUCCAAAGGGCGAGGCAGAGAGUAGCAGGAAGAAGAGACCGAGAGGCUAUGGAUGGCCGGCGGGCGCGACGACCUCAGUGGUUGCCGGUGGACCGUGGACGACUGGGCGGCGGUCGGCGUGGGGGCCGCUCGGUCCGUCAGCUUGCCUCCAUCCGCACAAGCGCUGGCCCCCGACGACGACGAUGCCAGCGGCCGGCGGCAACCCCGUUGGCGUGGAGAGUGGCGUGAUCGUCGUUGCAGAGAUGCAGAGGAGCGGGCAGCGUGCCCAUAUAUAGCCAGUCUAGCUGGCCCGUCCCCUUCCGGGGCCCCCAGGACCCGGUGCACAGGCAACACAGCUCGACCUGUAGCUGUAGGCAGUGGGAAUACUCUUUUUUUUUUAUGAAAGAAACGGCAAUCCAUGGGAGUACUGUUCGCAGGGCAGUUUGAUGCCUU